rnacentral:rRNA from 1 species
AUGAUGACUCUCGGCAACGGAUAUCUCGGCUCUCGCAACGAUGAAGAACGUAGCAAAUUGCGAUGCAUGGUGUGAAUUGCAGAAUCCCGUGAACCAUCGAGUCUUUGAACGCAAGUUGCGCCCGAGGCCACCAGGCCGAGGGCAUACCUGCCUGGGCAUCAUGC